rnacentral:rRNA from 1 species
AUUGAACGCUGGCGGCAGGCCUAACACAUGCAAGUCGAGCGGAUGAAGGGAGCUUGCUCCUGGAUUCAGCGGCGGACGGGUGAGUAAUGCCUAGGAAUCUGCCUGGUAGUGGGGGAUAACGUCCGGAAACGGGCGCUAAUACCGCAUACGUCCUGAGGGAGAAAGUGGGGGAUCUUCGGACCUCACGCUAUCAGAUGAGCCUAGGUCGGAUUAGCUAGUUGGUGGGGUAAAGGCCUACCAAGCCGACGAUCCGUAACUGGUCUGAGAGGAUGAUCGGUCACACUGGAACUGGGCCACGGUCCAGACGCCUACGGGAGGCAGCAGUGGGGAAUAUUGGACAAUGGGCGAAAGCCUGAUCCAGCCAUGCCGCGUGUGUGAAGAAGGUCUUCGGAUUGUAAAGCACUUUAAGUUGGGAGGAAGGGCAGUAAGUUAAUACCUUGCUGUUUUGACGUUACCAACAGAAUAAGCACCGGCUAACUUCGUG